GACGAACGCUGGCGGCGUGCCUAAUACAUGCAAGUUGAGCGAUGAAGAUUGGUGCUUGCACCAAUUUGAAGAGCAGCGAACGGGUGAGUAACGCGUGGGGAAUCUGCCUUUGAGCGGGGGACAACAUUUGGAAACGAAUGCUAAUACCGCAUAACAACUUUAAACAUAAGUUUUAAGUUUGAAAGAUGCAAUUGCAUCACUCAAAGAUGAUCCCGCGUUGUAUUAGCUAGUUGGUGAGGUAAAGGCUCACCAAGGCGAUGAUACAUAGCCGACCUGAGAGGGUGAUCGGCCACAUUGGGACUGAGACACGGCCCAAACUCCUACGGGAGGCAGCAGUAGGGAAUCUUCGGCAAUGGACGAAAGUCUGACCGAGCAACGCCGCGUGAGUGAAGAAGGUUUUCGGAUCGUAAAACUCUGUUGGUAGAGAAGAACGUUGGUGAGAGUGAAAAGCUCAUCAAGUGACGGUAACUACCCAGAAAGGGACGGCUAACUACGUG
rnacentral:rRNA from 1 species